rnacentral:rRNA from 1 species
GCGAGUCAUUGUAGUAAUACAAGGCAGACGGCUCAGUAACGCGUCCUUUCCUAACCUAUGGACGGGAAUAACCUCGGGAAACUGACCCUAAUGCCCGAUAGAACAUUAUGCCUGGAAUGGUUUAUGUUCCAAAUGAUUUAUCGCCGUAGGAUGGGACUGCGCCCUAUCAGUUUGUUGGUGAGGUAAUGGCCCACCAAGACUAUUACAGGUACGGGCUCUGAGAGGAGUAGCCCGGAGAUGGGUACUGAGACACGGACCCAGGCCCUAUGGGGCGCAGCAGGCGAGAAAACUUUGCAAUGUGCGAAAGCACGACAAGGUUAAUCCGAGUGGUUUCUGCUAAAGGAACCUUUUGUCGGUCCUAGAAACACUGAUGAUUAAGGGGUGGUUAUGUUCUG